rnacentral:rRNA from 1 species
UACAGAGGUCUCAAGCGUUGUUCGGAUUCAUUGGGCGUAAAGGGUGCGUAGGUGGCGCGCUAAGAUCAGGUGUGAAAUUUCGGAGCUUAACUCCGAAACUGCAUUUGAUACUGGCGUGCUUGAGGACUGGAGAGGAGACUGGAAUUCAUGGUGUAGCGGUGAAAUGCGCAGAUAUCAGGAAGAACACCCGUGGCGAAGGCGGUUCUCUGGGACGGUACUGACGCUGAGACGCGAAAGCGUGGGGAGCGAACAGG